AGCGAACGCUGGCGGCAGGCUUAACACAUGCAAGUCGAACGGGCAUAGCAAUAUGUCAGUGGCAGACGGGUGAGUAACGCGUGGGAACGUACCUUUUGGUUCGGAACAACACAGGGAAACUUGUGCUAAUACCGGAUAAGCCCUUACGGGGAAAGAUUUAUCGCCGAAAGAUCGGCCCGCGUCUGAUUAGCUAGUUGGUAGGGUAAUGGCCUACCAAGGCGACGAUCAGUAGCUGGUCUGAGAGGAUGAUCAGCCACAUUGGGACUGAGACACGGCCCAAACUCCUACGGGAGGCAGCAGUGGGGAUUAUUGGACAAUGGGCGAAAGCCUGAUCCAGCCAUGCCGCGUGAGUGAUGAAGGCCCUAGGGUUGUAAAGCUCUUUUGUGCGGGAAGAUAAUGACGGUACCGCAAGAAUAAGCCCCGGCUAACUUCGUG
rnacentral:rRNA from 1 species